rnacentral:rRNA from 1 species
GACGAACGCUGGCGGCGUGCUUAACACAUGCAAGUCGAGCGGAGCGGCGAACGGGUGAGUAACGCGUGAGUAACUGCCCCCCUCUCUGGGAUAACAGUUGGAAACGGCUGCUAAUACAGGAUAGUGGGGGAUGACUCGCGUGCUAUCAGAUGGUUGGUGGGGUAGUGGCCGACCAAGGCGACGACGGGUAGCCGGCCUGCGAGGGCGACCGGCCACAUUGGGCUGAGAUCUGGCCCAAACUCCUACGGGAGGCAGCAGUGGGGAAUAUUGCACAAUCGGGGAAACCCUGAUGCAGCAUCGCCGCGUGCGGGAUGACGGCCUUCGGUUUGUAAUCCGCUUUCAUCCAUGACGCGGUAGUGGCAGAAGAAGCACCGGCUAACUACGUGCCAGCAGCCGCGGUAAUUA